GGCGGCAUGCCUAAUACAUGCAAGUCGAGCGGAGUUGUUUUGAAAGCUUGCUUUCAAAACAACUUAGCGGCGGACGGGUGAGUAACACGUAGGUAACCUGCCUGUAAGACUGGGAUAACUACCGGAAACGGUAGCUAAUACCGGAUAAUUUGUUUCUUCUCAUGAAGAGACACUGAAAGGCGGAGUAAUCUGCCACUUAUAGAUGGGCCUGCGGCGCAUUAGCUAGUUGGUGAGGUAACGGCUCACCAAGGCGACGAUGCGUAGCCGACCUGAGAGGGUGAACGGCCACACUGGGACUGAGACACGGCCCAGACUCCUACGGGAGGCAGCAGUAGGGAAUCUUCCGCAAUGGACGAAAGUCUGACGGAGCAAUGCCGCGUGAGUGAUGAAGGUUUUCGGAUCGUAAAGCUCUGUUGCCAGGGAAGAACGCUUGGGAGAGUAACUGCUCUCAAGGUGACGGUACCUGAGAAGAAAGCCCCGGCUAACUACGUGCCAGCAGCCGCGGUAAUACGUA
rnacentral:rRNA from 1 species